AGUGCUGGGCAUUGCCGGCAAACGUCUCGCAGCGGCUGAGGUUUUCCUCCUGCACCGGGCUGCCCACGUUCUCCUCGCUGGGCCCCGAGGCCGCUGCGCCCUCCUGGGAGUUCUGGCUAAGAUCUUCCAGGAUAAAAAGGAAAGUGUAAAUGCUGCCAGCUACUAAUUGCUGUUGAUUCACUCCUUUGUCUCAGAGGAUCUGAGAAGCUGCCAAGGCAGGUUGCACAAAAAAUUAUGGGACAAAAGAGGAACUUCCUGAUCAGAAAGAAGAUUUCGUAGGGCUCGAGUCUCAUGUACACUUGCUGGUUUUGUAUGUCUGAAGAUAGAUCAGCCAUGUAUCCGCUGCCAGUUCCCAGCAAUGACUCUGUUCUUCUGAUGUUGAGCCUGCACAUUUACCA